GUGCGAGCGAGGUUCCCCUGAACGGGCAGGUGUGUUUCUUUGCGUACUGGUUUUGAAUAGGAAAGAGCGUUGAGCGUUUAGGACGUAGACCCAGUUCCUCCAUAAGAUGGUUCGGUAAGGGUUUAUGUGUCAUCAUGGACGCUGCAAGCUCCCAAGAACACGGUUCGCGAGUCGAACGCGGACGCUUCGUGAGGUGUUAUGGACCGGAUUGGCAACGAUGCCAAGAGGCGCAGCAUCAUUGCUGCAGACGUGCUGCUUGCGUCAUCUAGACACCCGCGAUUCACGAUAUACCGGCCCGUAACCACACAGCGCAAAGCCCUUGGUGAAACAGGGGCCACUCGAGCGACGCUUGGCUGGAGUCGCGACGGACGGUGCGGGUUCACGGGUACCUGCCGCGUGCCGUCCCAGCAGCGGUGCAGGGGUCAGGGCGCCCCGCAGCCUCGAGUCUAUAGUCUGUUGCGACCGAGAAAUCGUUGUUUGCUGGCCCUUGACGAAACGCGUUGGACCUUUAACGGGGCGAGCACGCCAAAUUGCCCUCGACGAAGUGUUUGCCUGUCUCCGCUGCUGAUAGCGAACCUACUCCCGAGUGCAGCGCUCGACUGCUGCUCACUGGUGAACUGCUGGGGUCACGUUCUCCAAGCAAGCCGUUCGCAAGUCGACGGAUGCUAAAAGUCGCCUGGGUUGAGACGUGCGGCAUGCGGCGUUCCUUGUUGAGGUCAGCGUUGCUGCUUGAUGGAUUCUUUCUUGACAUGUUGCUGACGUAUUUCAGGUGCUAGUGCUGACUUUGCAGCAAGUUCCUCGAUCAUGUUUCGCCGAACCGGACGUAACUUUCGUCUCGCGCGCUGUAUCAAGGAAUCUUUGCGAGCGGUAACCAACACUUUAGGUCAUACGAGGCCUCUGCUGUCGUCGUCGCCUGUGCGAGCGCCGCGAAGCGACGUUUGCCUGCACGUAUCGAAUGCGCACGCCUCGAAUCGGGCGGUAGACGCUGGGGCGGAAGCUUAUUUGCAUCCGCAAACAGAAUGCCGAGCAGGCGAUGUGAAAGAACGCUAUCCGAUCCAAAUCCGACGAGCUGAGGAAGAUGCUCAAGAACAUGAUACCUUGCCGCCGCCGAGCAACAUGAUUUCGGGGAGAACACCGCCCCUGCAUCAGAAUGCUCGUCGCCCUGGGUCCGAAUAACGUACAAGCGCUGGCGAGGCAGUAGCUUCGCGACGCUCUACCCUGGGCGCGCAGAAGAGUGCAUCUCAGACCGUCUCGCCUAUGCCCCGAAAUUUUGGUACGGAAAAGUUUUGCGCAGUGGUGGAGUCCCUGGUCUAUCUUUCAGAUGUUAUACUCGGCCUCGUCCACCUCGAAGGAGCGUUCCCCGAAGAACUUAACAUGCACGAGGUCGCCGGGAUACAAAUCGCCCAGCUCUUUGUAGCGCGUUGUGAGCAUGAUGGAUUGAAGAAUUUGGCCGUCUUGGAGCUCGACAUCAACACGCACACUCCAACCUAAGAAAAACACGUCGACAACACGAGCCGGAGCCGUGGUGCUAUCGGGGCUGCGAUGCAAGUGAACGUCAUGAGGACGCAGCAUCAAGUACUGGGCGGCGUUAUCGCUCUUACGGACAUUGGUCGUUGUCUCAGACUCGCGCGGUAUUGUCGGCGGACGCUCGGGGUCCGACCAAAUGGAGUCUUUUUUGGAUGUCUCCACGGAGCGCGCUCGAGUAGCAUUCGUGAAGGUGCGCCCGUUUGCCUGCUCUGCGGGGAGCGCAUCACGACUCACGACGCUCACAUCGCCCAUGAAGCUCAUGACAAACGGCGACGCUGGAUGCUCAUAGAUCUCAAGCGGUGUGCCGACCUGCUCGAUCUGGCCCUUGUUCAUGACCACCACGGAGCUGGCUAUCUCUAAAGCCUCCUG
rnacentral:misc_RNA from 1 species